GGGGGGGGGGGGGGUGAAGAUGGAAAGAGGACGCCGAAGUAGGUGCGUUAGCGCGUGCGCGCACGUGUGCUCUAAGCCCGUUUGUGCACGACGUGCGUUAGAGAAUCAAGUGUAACUGGUCCCUUUUAUCUCAUCUCAUGCCGCUGCACGCGCUCAGCGCAGCUCGUCCCUGAGACUGUUGCCUCGCUGCUUCCAUCGUUUCCUGUGAGAACAUGUCGACAGAAAUAGCUCAAAGUUCCCAAAGACCGAAUGAGCGAGAGGCUCUUGUGUGACAUUUGCACGUUUUUGUUUCCACGAUGGUCCGGGUGACGCAUAAAUAACGACACUGCAGCAAAACUAACGUCUGAGGAGCUAAUGACCAUGAAUGCACAAAUUCAUUUAUUCAUUUCAUUCAAGUAACGUCAAUCAAAGCAUGUCCUCCGCAUGAGGUCAGCACUCCAUGCGUGUAGUAUAUAACCUAUAGAAUCACCUGGACAGGUGAACCCGACCUAAGGUGUGAUGGUUUUAACAUAACUGAGAACCUUCAGCUUUUCCUCACUUCACUUUACUCAACUCUAACAAAUCACAUAGUAUCAUUGUGCCAUCUGUGCCAGUUGGCAGUGCCAGGACAAAGCUCCAGCUAAUCCCAGAUGGCAGCACUGGGAUUCUCCAAGAUUGACUGAGUUUAACAACAGUCUGUGAGGAAACAGGAAGCAGGCCAAGCAUCCCUCAGCCGUGAAGUCAUCGCUCCCUCCGUCUCCCAGUCGUUUCUGUCUUCACGGUGACCUUCAGCCGUGUCAAAACCCCGAGAAGAUGGUGAAGCACCAGCAGCUACGCAACAUCGGAGCUCCGCUUCUACCUCCAAACCUCUGAAGAGCCAGCGCGAAAAGGUUCAAGGUUUGACAGCUGGAAUGGAGUUUGUUGCCUGGCAACGACAGUAACCAAAGUUGGAAGUUGGGCCUUUUUUGAACUCUGUUCAUUCUUCCAAAAAUAGAAGUGUUGUUUUUAAAUGAAGAUACUGGACAGUGAUCAGGUGUGAACACGAAUGGAAAAAGUAUUUGUUAAAAGUUGCUCUGAGAGGAAUAUUCAUGAAGCUCGGCUCCAGUGGUGUGACGCUCGCGUGCUCCUGGCGACACAUGGAGGCGAACGAAAAGCCAAAAGGACAAAGCGCCUUCUUCAGUCUCAUCAGGCCGCACAGUGAGGGGUGAAGGACCCCAGAGGUCCACGAGAGCUUCCAUGAAGCCAGUGACAUCAAAACGUGAAGUCCUGUUUCGAGGAGCCAAGCACAGACAUGCUAUAAAACAUACACUGCAGGUCACGCUGCUGCACAUUUCCAGAGCGCGGCUAUUUCAGGCACCAAAUUGCAUCUGCUUCUCCCCGCCUCAAACCUA